rnacentral:lncRNA from 1 species
AUGCACAGAUGCAUUAGUGGCCUUCAUCCCUAUCAGGCAUGAUCUUUUAAGGGAGUGGGUGUUUAUGUGUUUAUUUUGUAUGGACAUCAUUUUUCCAGUUUCUAAUCAUCAUUAGAAUGUUUUCCUUUGUGGUUUUAUUGCUCUAAGAUGUUAAUUAUUAAAUAGAAAAUUAUUUAAUUAUUCCUCUGAUGAAGUUUUCCUUUUCUGUCUGUUGUUGUCCAGUUUUGCAGAUAUUUAUUAGAUAUCUAUCUGAUGGGCUACAUAUCCAAUGCUCACUCAACUGACUGGUGCACUCGCAAGCAUGUUGACUCAAAAGUAAUUACUCAAGCUUUGGAAUGCAAUAGAAUAGAUAAAGCCCUUCUGUUGACCUGUUUCCAGAAAAUGGUUUUCUGUCAAUGUAUGUAUUUAACAUCUACCAUACCAUCAAUGUUUUAUUUCAGUUAUUAUAAAUUAAAGUUAUUGCUUU